UUUUUCUUGCCGGCGCCAGGACGCGCCGGGAGGGAUAUGGGAACGGGGAAGGGCGUUUUUCGCCCGAAGCCCCGACCGCCCCCGCGACUGUGAGCGGCGAGUGACCUCUCCCAUGCCACUGGAUCACGCCGGAAAGGCACGAUCUGGGAAGGCGGAGGAUCGCGACGACCCGCGAGUCAGGAGACCGGCCCUGCGCAUCGGUGUUCA
rfam:Rhodospirillum rubrum ATCC 11170, complete genome.